GAUGAAGAACGCAGCAAAAUGCGAUAAGUAAUGUGAAUUGCAGAAUUCAGUGAAUCAUCGAAUCUUUGAACGCACAUUGCGCCCGCUGGUAUUCCGGCGGGCAUGCCUGUUCGAGCGUCAUUUCAACCCUCAAGCCCCCGGGUUUGGUGUUGGGGAUCGGCUCUGCCCUUCUGGGCGGUGCCGCCCCCGAAAUACAUUGGCGGUCUCGCUGCAGCCUCCAUUGCGUAGUAGCUAACACCUCGCAACUGGAACGCGGCGCGGCCAUGCCGUAAAACCCCAACUUCUGAAUGUUGACCUCGGAUCAGGUAGGAAUACCCGCUGAACUUAAGCGUAUCAAUAAGCGGAGGA
rnacentral:misc_RNA from 1 species